UGGGAGAGGUACAGCCCCCCUCACCCGCUUUCCCUUUCUGCACCACGACAAACGAAGCAAGAGAUAGACAUAAAAAGCUGGAGUAACUCAGCGGGAGAGGACUCGCCCACAUCCACACCGAGCCGCACAGCUCCCAGCAGUGGGCGGUUUGCGCUGUCAGGAGGCGCCAGCAGGUGGAACUGAAAAAGCAGAUGGUUGACCAUAAUACCGAGGACUGGCAGAGCAAUGAAGACUUUGCAGGGUUGGAGCGGGUCGGAGGGGUGGAUUUAUCCUUCAUCAAAGAAGAUGAGGUCAAUGCUUGUGCUUCAUUAGUGGUUCUCAGUUAUCCUGAUCUCGAGCUGCAGGUAUAGAGAAAUAUUUUAACAUUGUGAACGUCCCAAUGCCCUUCACAAGAGGAGAAGCAGAUGGCGAAAAUUGAUGGGAAGGGUCAGGAUAAAGCUGAGAAAGCAAAUGGGGAAAGUAAGAAAUGACUAACAUGAAGAAAAGGAGACACAAGGAUCUGCAGAUGUUGGAAUCUUGAGUAAAAUACAAAGUGCUGGAGUAACUCAGAGGAUC